rnacentral:lncRNA from 1 species
UUCUUUCAUUUUUAUCUACUCCAAAUUGACCUGCACCAGUUUCAUCGUUGUCGUCAAUCCGUCGUAGCUGAUCGGAAAACCGUAUGUACAGGAUCGUCGGAGGAAAGUACAUGCUCGGUCGUAAGAUCGGAAGCGGAUCGUUCGGUGAAAUCCAUCUAGGUUUUACUUUUGUUCUAUUUUUGUCACACAUCUGGUGAAGGCCAAAUCAGAGUAGAAAAGAUGAAAGAAUUACCUGGUGAAGGCCACCAAAAUCGCCGCCCCUUUGCUCUCUUUCUUGAAAUUUAUCAAUCCAACAGUCAAAACAGAGUCUUUAACUUUAAUCACCGGUCCGUAUUGCUUUAAUCCCGUCUUCCAAUUGAUGGGUUUUGUCUUGAAGAAUAAAGAUGACAAAAUUUGAAAGG